rnacentral:piRNA from 1 species
UCUCGAAUCAGGACUUGGGAACUUCCC